UCGGGACGAAGAUCUCCAACGAUCUCGCGCGUCUACUCCGAGGAGCGUGUAACCUAUUCCCCGAGCAAGUAGGGCACAUACUGCGAUCGCUCCNUUCGACGGAUCCCUCGGGACGAAGAUCUCCAACGAUCUCGCGCGUCUACUCCGAGGAGCGUGUAACCUAUUCCCCGAGCAAGUAGGGCACAUACUGCGAUCGCUCCGGGCGAAGACGAUCGCGCCGCUGCUCCGCGUCGCCAUCGCCGCGUGCUUGAUCAUGUCGGUGAUGCUCCUGAUCGAGGCCGUCUCCAUGGCCGCCGUUAGCCUCGCCGU
rnacentral:lncRNA from 1 species